GACGAACGCUGGCGGCGUGCUUAACACAUGCAAGUCGAGCGAGCAGAUUUCCUUCGGGGAUGAAGCUAGCGGCGGACGGGUGAGUAACACGUGGGCAACCUGCCUUAUAGAGGGGGAUAGCCUUCCGAAAGGAAGAUUAAUACCGCAUAACAUCAGAUUAUCGCAUGGUAGACUGAUCAAAGGAGCAAUCCGCUAUAAGAUGGGCCCGCGUCGCAUUAGCUAGUUGGUGAGGUAACGGCUCACCAAGGCGACGAUGCGUAGCCGACCUGAGAGGGUGAUCGGCCACAUUGGGACUGAGACACGGCCCAGACUCCUACGGGAGCAGCAGUGGGGAAUAUUGCACAAUGGGGGAAACCCUGAUGCAGCAACGCCGCGUGAGUGAUGAAGGCCUUCGGGUUGUAAAGCUCUUUGAUCAGGGACGAUAAUGACGGUACCUGAAGAACAAGCCACGGCUAACUACGUGCCAGCCGCCGCUGUAAAAC
rnacentral:rRNA from 1 species